CUCCGCGGAGAGGGCGCCAGAUUCAGUUUUCUGUUUGCCUCUCGUCGGGUGCGGACGUCUGGCGCGUCGCUCGUAUCGUGACCGUUGAUGUGCUGGUGAACUCUUUAGUCGUGUAAAGAAGAUGGAGGGCGGUGUGUGUGCACACAGAUAUGCUUGGAUGUCGUCCCCAUGAUGACAGCGGUGCUGCCACCUGACGUGAUGCUUUCCGACCUGCCUGGUGUGACGCUUUGCAAAUGGCGGCGCCCAUGGGCUGAUGCUGUUACCGAACCUGGACUGACACAUUAAUGAAUUGAAUGUGUAUAGUAAUGACUUGAAUUAUUAAAUGAGUUUAGAAAGUGCA